rnacentral:rRNA from 1 species
GGGAUAAACAUUUGGAAACAGAUGCUAAUACCGCAUAACAACAAAAAGCCCACAUGGCUUUUGUUUGAAAGAUGGCUUUGGCUAUCACUCUGGGAUGGACCUGCGGUGCAUUAGCUAGUUGGUAAGGUAACGGCUUACCAAGGCGAUGAUGCAUAGCCGAGUUGAGAGACUGAUCGGCCACAAUGGAACUGAGACACGGUCCAUACUCCUACGGGAGGCAGCAGUAGGGAAUCUUCCACAAUGGGCGCAAGCCUGAUGGAGAAACACCGCGUGAGUGAAGAAGGGUUUCGGCUCGUAAAGCUCUGUUGUUGGAGAAGAACGUGCGUGGGAGUAACUGUUCACGCAGUGACGGUAUCCAACCAGAAAGUCACUGCUAACUACGUGCCAGCAGCCGCGGUAAUACGUAGGUGGCAAGCGUUAUCCGGAUUUAUUGGGCGUAAAGAGAGCGCAGGCGGUUGCUUAGGUCUGAUGUGAAAGCCUUCGGCUUAACCGAAGAAGUGCAUCGGAAACCGGGCGACUUGAGUGCAGAAGAGGACAGUGGAACUCCAUGUGUAGCGGUGGAAUGCGUAGAUAUAUGGAAGAACACCAGUGGCGAAGGCGGCUGUCUGGUCUGCAACUGACGCUGAGGCUCGAAAGCAUGGGUAGCGAACAGGAUUAGAUACCCUGGUAGUCCAUGCCGUAAACGAUGAGUGCUAGGUGUUGGAGGGUUUCCGCCCUUCAGUGCCGGAGCUAACGCAUUAAGCACUCCGCCUGGGGAGUACGACCGCAAGGUUGAAACUCAAAGGAAUUGACGGGGGCCCGCACAAGCGGUGGAGCAUGUGGUUUAAUUCGAAGCUACGCGAAGAACCUUACCAGGUCUUGACAUCUUGCGCUAACCUUAGAGAUAAGGCGUUCCCUUCGGGGACGCAAUGACAGGUGGUGCAUGGUCGUCGUCAGCUCGUGUCGUGAGAUGUUGGGUUAAGUCCCGCAACGAGCGCAACCCUUGUUACUAGUUGCCAGCAUUAAGUUGGGCACUCUAGUGAGACUGCCGGUGACAAACCGGAGGAAGGUGGGGACGACGUCAGAUCAUCAUGCCCCUUAUGACCUGGGCUACACACGUGCUACAAUGGACGGUACAACGAGUCGCAAGCUCGCGAGGGUAAGCUAAUCUCUUAAAGCCGUUCUCAAUUCGGACUGUAGGCUGCAACUCGCCUACACGAAGUCGGAAUCGCUAGUAAUCGCGGAUCAGCAUGCCGCGGUGAAUACGUUCCCGGGCCUUGUACACACCGCCCGUCA